ACUCCUACGGGAGGCAGCAGUGGGGAAUAUUGCACAAUGGGCGCAAGCCUGAUGCAGCCAUGCCGCGUGUAUGAAGAAGGCCUUCGGGUUGUAAAGUACUUUCAGCAGUGAGGAAGGCGGGUACGUUAAUAGUACGUGCUCGUUUGAUCGUUAGCUGCAGAAGAAGACACCGGCUAACUCCGUGCCAGCAGCCGCGGUAAUACGGAGGGUGCGAGCGUUAAUCGGAAUUACUGGGCGUAAAGCGCAUGCAGGUGGUUUGUUAAGUCAGAUGUGAAAGCCC
rnacentral:rRNA from 1 species